rnacentral:tRNA from 1 species
GGGGCGUUAGCUCAGUUGGUAGAGCACCGUGUUCACACCGCGGGGGUCACUGGUUCGAGUCCAGUACGCCCCACCA